AUACAGGGGGAUAACAGUUAGAAAUGACUGCUAAUACCGCAUAAGCGCACGGUUUCGCAUGGAACAGUGUGAAAAACUCCGGUGGUAUGGGAUGGACCCGCGUCUGAUUAGCUGGUUGGCGGGGUAACGGCCCACCAAGGCGACGAUCAGUAGCCGGCCUGAGAGGGUGAACGGCCACAUUGGGACUGAGACACGGCCCAAACUCCUACGGGAGGCAGCAGUGGGGAAUAUUGCACAAUGGGGGAAACCCUGAUGCAGCGACGCCGCGUGAGUGAAGAAGUAAUUCGUUAUGUAAAGCUCUAUCAGCAGGGAAGAAACAGACGGUACCUGAGUAAGAAGCCCCGGCUAACUACGUGCCAGCAGCCGCGGUAAUACGUAGGGGGCAAGCGUUAUCCGGAUUUACUGGGUGUAAAGGGAGCGUAGACGGCGAUGCAAGUCUGAAGUGAAAGGCGGGGGCCCAACCCCCGGACUGCUUUGGAAACUGUAUGGCUGGAGUGCAGGAGAGGUAAGUGGAAUUCCUAGUGUAGCGGUGAAAUGCGUAGAGAUCAUACAGAACACCGAUUGCGAAGGCAGCUUACCAAACUAUAUCUGACGUUGAGGCACGAAAGCGUGGGGAGCAAACAGGAUUAGAUACCCUGAUAGUCCACGCAGUAAACGAUGAUAGCUCGUUGU
rnacentral:rRNA from 1 species